UAGGGAAUCUUCGGCAAUGGGGGGAACCCUGACCGAGCAACGCCGCGUGAGUGAAGAAGGUUUUCGGAUCGUAAAGCUCUGUUGUUAAGGAAGAACGAGUGUGAGAAUGGAAAGUUCAUACUGUGACGGUACUUAACCAGAAAGGGACGGCUAACUACGUGCCAGCAGCCGCGGUAAUACGUAGGUCCCGAGCGUUGUCCGGAUUUAUUGGGCGUAAAGCGAGCGCAGGCGGUUAGAUAAGUCUGAAGUUAAAGGCAGUGGCUCAACCAUUGUAGGCUUUGGAAACUGUUUAACUUGAGUGUAGAAGGGGAGAGUGGAAUUCCAUGUGUAGCGGUGAAAUGCGUAGAUAUAUGGAGGAACACCGGUGGCGAAAGCGGCUCUCUGGUCUGUAACUGACGCUGAGGUUCGAAAGCGUGGGUAGCAAACAGG
rnacentral:rRNA from 1 species